GUAGAGAGACUGCAAACUCUUUACAAUGAAGGUCUUCUUUGCUCUUUGCCUCCUGUGUAUCGUCAUGGUUACUUCGAGAGAAGUAGAUUGUGAACUAAGGGGAGCCGAUUGCAUUUCGAGCUACAAUCCCAUCUGUGGGUCUGACGGUCACACCUACCCUCACUGGUGUGACUUCAAAUACCAUCUGAUUUGCAAGGACCGUAGACUAGAGUUGGUUCACUUGGGAAAGUGUAUCAGAGGCGAAAAACUACAGCCGAUGGCCUGACAACUUGCUGUCUAUGCAUUUCAUUACCGGAACACACAGUCACCUGAUUCUGGCCAUGUUCACUGUACACAAACUGGUUUGGUGAACACGGUCAAGUCUUGUGUGGUCUAGUACUGAAUCCGCUCUGAACAUGUUUGUCUAGAACAUAUGGAAGCUUUGAAAGGAGCAAGUUAAAAUAAAGUACAAUAUUGAAAUUA